CACGUAGGGGACGAGCGUUGUCCGGAUUCAUUGGGCGUAAAGCGCGCGUAGGCGGCUCGGAAAGUCGGGCGUGAAAUCCCUGGGCUCAACCCAGGAACUGCGUCCGAUACUGGCAGGCUUGAAUUCGGGAGAGGGAUGCGGAAUUCCAGGUGUAGCGGUGAAAUGCGUAGAUAUCUGGAGGAACACCGGUGGCGAAGGCGGCAUCCUGGACCGAUAUUGACGCUGAGGCGCGAAAGCCAGGGGAGCAAACGGG
rnacentral:rRNA from 1 species